rnacentral:rRNA from 1 species
AGAGUUUGAUCAUGGCUCAGAGCGAACGCUGGCGGCAGGCUUAACACAUGCAAGUCGAGCGGGCAUAGCAAUAUGUCAGCGGCAGACGGGUGAGUAACGCGUGGGAACGUACCUUUAGGUUCGGAACAACACAGGGAAACUUGUGCUAAUACCGGAUAAGCCCUUACGGGGAAAGAUUUAUCGCCGAAAGAUCGGCCCGCGUCUGAUUAGCUAGUUGGUGAGGUAAUGGCUCACCAAGGCGACGAUCAGUAGCUGGUCUGAGAGGAUGAUCAGCCACAUUGGGACUGAGACACGGCCCAAACUCCUACGGGAGGCAGCAGUGGGGAAUAUUGGACAAUGGGCGCAAGCCUGAUCCAGCCAUGCCGCGUGAGUGAUGAAGGCCCUAGGGUUGUAAAGCUCUUUUGUGCGGGAAGAUAAUGACGGUACCGCAAGAAUAAGCCCCGGCUAACUUCGUG